rnacentral:misc_RNA from 1 species
UCAUUGCCAACCUCUUCAACAA